UACGUAGGUCCCGAGCGUUGUCCGGAUUUAUUGGGCGUAAAGCGAGCGCAGGUGGUUUAUUAAGUCUGGUGUAAAAGGAAGUGGCUCAACCAUUGUAUGCAUUGGAAACUGGUAGACUUGAGUGCAGGAGAGGAGAGUGGAAUUCCAUGUGUAGCGGUGAAAUGCGUAGAUAUAUGGAGGAACACCGGUGGCGAAAGCGGCUCUCUGGCCUGUAACUGACACUGAGGCUCGAAAGCGUGGGGAGCAAACAGG
rnacentral:rRNA from 1 species